AUUGAACGCUGGCGGCAGGCCUAACACAUGCAAGUCGAGCGAGCGGCGGACGGGUGAGUAAUGUAUGGGGACUGCCGGACAGAGGGUGAUAACUACUGGAAACGGUAGCUAAUACUGCAUACUAUCGGAUAACCCAUAGGGGAUGGGCUAGUAGGUUAGGUAAUGGCUCACCGAGGCGACGAUCCCUAGCUGGUCUGAGAGGAUGAUCAGCCGCACGGGGACUGAGACACGGCCCAGACGCCUACGGAGGACGCAGGGGGGAAUAUGGCACUAUGGGCGAAAGCCUGAUGCAGCCAUGCAGCGGCGAUGAAGAGGGCCCGAGGGUUGUAAAGUACUUUAAGUCGGGAGGCGUUACCGACUGAAGAAGCACCGGCUAACUCCGUGCCAGCAGCCGCGGUAAUUC
rnacentral:rRNA from 1 species